AUACGGAGGAUCCGAGCGUUAUCCGGAUUUACUGGGCGUAAAGGGCGUGUAGGCGGUCUUGCAAGUCAGAAGUGAAAUUCCUGAGCUCAACUCGGGCGCUGCUUCUGAAACUGCAGGACUUGAGUGCUGGAGGGGAUAGCGGAAUUCCUAGUGGAGCGGUAAAAUGCGCAGAUAUUAGGAAGAACACCGGUGGCGAAGGCGGCUAUCUGGACAGUAACUGACGCUGAAGCGCGAAAGCCAGGGGAGCAAACGGGAUUAGAUACCCCGGUAGUCCUGGCAGUAAACGAUGUAUGCUGGGUGUGAGACUAGCGAUAGUUUCGUGCCGAAGUUAACGCGAUAAGCAUACCGCCUGGGGAGUACGGUCGCAAGAUUGAAACUCAAAGGAAUUGACGGGG
rnacentral:rRNA from 1 species